rnacentral:rRNA from 1 species
GACGAACGCUGGCGGCGUGCCUAACACAUGCAAGUCGAACGGGUUCUUUUAAGAAGCUUGCUUCUUGGCUGAACUAGUGGCGGACGGGUGAGUAACACGUGAGCAAUCUGCCCAUAAGAGGGGGAUAACGUCUGGAAACGGACGCUAAUACCGCAUAACAUGCAAGGCCGGCAUCGGCAAUGCAUCAAAGGAGAAAUCCGCUUAUGGAUGAGCUCGCGCCCGAUUAGAUAGUUGGCGGGGUAACGGCCCACCAAGUCGACGAUCGGUAGCCGGACUGAGAGGUUGAACGGCCACAUUGGGACUGAGACACGGCCCAGACUCCUACGGGAGGCAGCAGUGGGGAAUAUUGCACAAUGGGGGAAACCCUGAUGCAGCGACGCCGCGUGAAGGAAGAAGUAUUUCGGUAUGUAAACUUCUAUCAGCAGGGAAGAAAAUGACGGUACCUGACUAAGAAGCCCCGGCUAAUUACGUGCCAGCCGCCGCAGUAAAAC